UAGAAACCUAUGGAGAAUUCAGGACC
rnacentral:piRNA from 1 species